CCGAGUUAUACAACUCAUCAACCCUGUGAACAUACCUAUAAUGUUGCCUCGGCGGGAACAGACGGCCCCGUAACACGGGCCGCCCCCGCCAGAGGACCCCCUAACUCUGUUUCUAUAAUGUUUCUUCUGAGUAAACAAGCAAAUAAAUUA
rnacentral:misc_RNA from 1 species